rnacentral:rRNA from 1 species
AGCGUAGGCUGCGCGGUAAGUCAGAUGUGAAAUCCCGGGGCUCAACCCCGGAACUGCAUCCGAUACUGCCGUGCUUGAGGGUUGGAGAGGUAGCUGGAAUUCUCGGCGUAGCAGUGAAAUGCGUGGAUAUCGAGAGGAACACUCGUGGCGAAGGCGAGCUACUGGACAACAUCUGACGCUGAGGCUCGAAGGCCAGGGGAGCAAAAG